rnacentral:rRNA from 1 species
UACGGAGGGUGCGAGCGUUGUCCGGAAUCAUUGGGCGUAAAGGGCGCGUAGGUGGCUCGGUCAGCGUGCGGUGAAAGCUCGGGGCUCAACCCCGAGUCGGCCGUGCGAACUGCUGGGCUUGAGCACUGUAGAGGCAGGCGGAAUUCCGGGUGUAGCGGUGGAAUGCGUAGAGAUCCGGAAGAACACCGGUGGCGAAGGCGGCCUGCUGGGCAGUAGCUGACACUGAGGCGCGACAGCGUGGGGAGCAAACAGG